GUAGGUGGCAAGCGUUGUCCGGAAUUAUUGGGCGUAAAGCGCGCGCAGGCGGUUCGUUUAAGUCUGAUGUGAAAGCCCACGGGCUCAACCGUGGAGGGUCAUUGGAAACUGGAGAACUUGAGUACAGAAGAGGAAAGCGGAAUUCCACGUGUAGCGGUGAAAUGCGUAGAGAUGUGGAGGAACACCAGUGGCGAAGGCGGCUUUCUGGUCUGUAACUGACGCUAAGGCGCGAAAGCGUGGGGAGCAAACAGGAUUAGAUACCCUGGUAGUCCACGCCGUAAACGAUGAGUGCUAAGUGUUAGGGGGUUUCCGCCCCUUAGUGCUGCAGCUAACGCAUUAAGCACUCCGCCUGGGGAGUACGGCCGCAAAGGCUG
rnacentral:rRNA from 1 species